rnacentral:rRNA from 1 species
UGCAGUCGAACGGUAACAUUUCUAGCUUGCUAGAAGAUGACGAGUGGCGGACGGGUGAGUAAUGCUUGGGAACUUGCCUUUGCGAGGGGGAUAACAGUUGGAAACGACUGCUAAUACCGCAUAAUGUCUACGGACCAAACGGGGCUUAGGCUCCGGCGCAAAGAGAGGCCCAAGUGAGAUUAGCUAGUUGGUAAGGUAACGGCUUACCAAGGCGACGAUCUCUAGCUGUUCUGAGAGGAAGAUCAGCCACACUGGGACUGAGACACGGCCCAGACUCCUACGGGAGGCAGCAGUGGGGAAUAUUGCACAAUGGGGGGAACCCUGAUGCAGCCAUGCCGCGUGUGUGAAGAAGGCCUUCGGGUUGUAAAGCACUUUCAGUUGUGAGGAAAAGUUAGUAGUUAAUACCUGCUAGCCGUGACGUUAACAACAGAAGAAGCACCGGCUAACUCCGUGCCAGCAGCCGCGGUAAUACGGAGGGUGCGAGCGUUAAUCGGAAUUACUGGGCGUAAAGCGCACGCAGGCGGUUUGUUAAGCUAGACGUGAAAGCCCCGGGCUCAACCUGGGAUGGUCAUUUAGAACUGGCAGACUAGAGUCUUGGAGAGGGGAGUGGAAUUCCAGGUGUAGCGGUGAAAUGCGUAGAUAUCUGGAGGAGCAUCAGUGGCGAAGGCGACUCCCUGGCCAAAGACUGACGCUCAUGUGCGAAAGUGNNNNNAGCGAACAGGAUUAGAUACCCUGGUAGUCCACACCGUAAACGCUGUCUACUAGCUGUGUGUGUCUUUAAGACGUGCGUANCGAAGCUAACGCGCUAAGUAGACCGNCNGGGGAGUANGGCCGCANGG